UGACCACAGGCUAUGUAUGGUUGUGUUUUUGCAGUGGGUCCCCAGCCCAUGCAGCAGGUAUCUGUGGUGAAUUGAAUAGAGAGAGAAAGGGUUUUGAAAGGUCUGUCUACACAGAGGUGGUGAACAUUGCUUCACCAAGUAAGCUGGGAUGCCAGCUCUUUUGUAACUGUGAGAAGUUUAAAGGGAUGACCCACCAUGGGGUCGAAAAAGGUGUGUCUGACAGUACCGAGGUCAACUUCAGCAUCAACACGCUGGAAUGGGUCAAAGUAGGCUUCAGUAGCAACACCAAAGAUUUUGAUUUAGAUGUCAGUUUGGACUUCUUAAUGCACUGGGUCAAUCUUGAGGUUGGAGAACAAUUCUGAGAGAAAAAGAAGCACAGGUUACAGAUUUUGAGAGCAAAUAUACUGUCUAGUCCUGGUCCAAGAUACACAGUCUGGAUUGCUGCCAAAAGACAUUUCAUAUUCUGGUUCAGAGUUAGGCACACUUUCAACUCGUUGAUAUCUGUGAGCUGAAGGCUAUGUGGGAUGUAGCUGCAAUGCACAAUAAAUUAAGCUGCAUGUUGUUUGAACAGAACACCUCCAAAAACCUUACAAAACAUCAAUAAAAAUAGGUAUUAUCAAUAAUAAGCUUUAGAAUUAUGGAACAGGUGCAUAUGUUGGUAAACAGGCUUAGGUCAAAACCCUGUGGAUACCCUACUUGCUCUGCGCUUGUCCUA